rnacentral:rRNA from 1 species
AGUGAACGCUGGCGGUAGGCCUAACACAUGCAAGUCGAACGGCAGCACAGAGGAGCUUGCUCCUUGGGUGGCCAGUGGCGGACGGGUGAGGAAUACAUCGGAAUCUACUCUGUCGUGGGGGAUAACGUAGGGAAACGUACGCUAAUACCGCAUACGACCUACGGGUGAAAGCAGGGGACCUUCUGGCCUUGCGCGAUUGAAUGAGCCGAUGUCGGAUUAGCUAGUUGGCGGGGUAAAGGCCCACCAAGGCGACGAUCCGUGGCUGGUCUGAGAGGAUGAUCAGCCACACUGGAACUGAGACACGGUCCAGACUCCUACGGGAGGCAGCAGUGGGGAAUAUUGGACAAUGGGCGCAAGCCUGAUCCAGCCAUACCGCGUGGGUGAAGAAGGCCUUCGGGUUGUAAAGCCCUUUUGUUGGGAAAGAAAUCCAGCUGGCUAAUACCCGGUUGGGAUGACGGUACCCAAAGAAUAAGCACCGGCUAACUUCGUGCCAGCAGCCGCCGUAA